ensembl:lncRNA
ACCCCACCCUAGGCAUCUCUUUCUCUCUCCACAAAAAGAAAGUCUUGGAGUGGGCUUUUUUCUUUCUCUUCAUGUUUGCCCUUUUCCACAUGUAGAGAAGUAACUAUUCUGAUUCCUGUAAUAUGCCCUUGUUUAUAGUGCAGUGGUUCUGUAUUAGGGUGUGCAGUAGAAUCACCUGGAAGGCCUGUGAAAUGGAACGUCUAGGCCCCGCCCCUGGGGAUUUCUGAUUGGUGGGUCUGGGCCCAAUAAGCCUGUGUUUCCAAGUUCCCAGGUGGUGCCAAUGCUGCGCCGCCAAGUCUCAGGCUGGGAACCACCGCUUUAGGUCCACAGUCUCCUCCCUAGAAGCCUCAGGAAACAAUAAAUUCAAAAUAAAUUAGCCUUCAAAUCAGAUGGAAAGAUACAUUCAUCCUUUAAGUCCUAUUGUGAGGAGGUGAAUUACAAAUGGAAACUUCAGGGCAGAGGAUGUGUGUUUCAUCACUUUUCUAGCUUAUCAGAGUAAUUAAUACAUGGAAUUUGGAGUCAGAAAGACCUGGAUUCAAAUCACAGGACAGCCGUUUCCUAGGUUGAUCUAGAGGAAAAUGCUUUCUUCUGAGCAGGGUCACCGGGCAUAGCUCUGAGGGCUGUUCACUGCACAACCUCAGUGGACGCUGUUCACGUAGCCCACCAUGAAAACAGCACCCUCUAGAGUGGCAUGCUGCAACAGCACCAUCUGAGCUGUACUAGGUUGAAGGCUUCCCAGGUGGCGCUUGUGGUAAAGAACAUGCCUGCCAAUGAGAAGAUGCAGGAGACUGAAGUUCUAUCUCUGGGUCAGGAAGAUCUCCUGGAAGAGAGCAUGGCAGCCCACUACAGUAUUCUUGCUUGGAGAAUCCCAUGGACAGAAGAGCUGCAGUCCACAGGGUGGCAGAGUCAGGAGUGACUGAAGCAACUUAGCAAGCACACGCAUGCUACUAGGCUGAAGUUAGAUCAGCUGCCACAUGUGUUGGUUAUGGAGUGUCACAACAACCUCAUGGAAGAGGCAGUAGGGGGAUGCUGCUGCAGAUGGUGCGUGAGAGAGGAAGAAGUUCCUUCAUUCAGAGGCAUCCACUCAACUGAUUCUGCUGCUGCUGCUGCUGCUAAGUCACUUCAGUUGUGUCCAACUCUGUGCGACCCCAUAGACGGCAGCCCACCAGGCUCCCCUGUCCCUGGGAUUCUCCAGGCAAGAACACAGGAGUGGGUUGCCAUUCCUUCUCCAAUGCAUGAAAGUGAAAAGUGAAAGUGAAGUCACUCAGUCAUGUCCGACUUUUAGUGACCCCAUGGACUGCAGCCCAUCAGGCUCCUCCAUCCAUGGAAUUUUCCAGGCAAGAGUACUGGAGUGGGUUCCCAUUGCCUUCUCCAUUUUAGAUUCUAUAUAUAAGUGAAAACAGAUUUUUAUCUUCCUCUGUCUGAUUUUUUUCACUAACUAUAGUAACCUCCAGGUCUAUAUGUGUUGCAAAUAACAAGAUUUCAUUCUUUUAUAUAGCUGCAUAAUUUUCCAGUGUGUGUACAUCUAUCUCAUAUCUUUUUUAUCCAUCUGUUUGUUGAUGAACACUUAGGUUGCUUCUGUUAUCUCGGCUAUUGUAAAUAUGCUGCAAUAAAAAUUAAAACUAACUUUUCAAAUUAGUGUUUUCAUUUUCUUUAGAUGUAUGCCCAGGAGUAGAAUUGCUGGAUCACAUGGUAGUUCUAUUUUUAGUUUUUCUGAGGAACCUGCCUACUGUUCUCCAUAGCAGCUGCACCAAUUUACCUAUUUACAUUCCUAUCGAAGUGUACUAGGAGCCCUGGUCUUCAUAUCUCUCUGAUACUUGUUACUUCUUGUCUUUAGGACUACCGUCAUCCUAACAACUGUGAGGUGGUAUCUCACACUGGUUUUGAUGUGCAUUUUCCUGAUGAUUAGUGGUGGGGAGCAUCUUUUCAUGUGCCGGCUGGCCAUCUACAUGUCUUUUUGGAAAAACGACUCUCUCUUCUUCAAUUCUGAAUGAUAACUUUGCUGGGUCAUAUCAUUGGUUGUAGUUUUUGUUUUUGUUUUUUUUUCCCUCCCCCCUCUUUAAGAACU